GAUGAACGCUGGCGGCGUGCCUAAUACAUGCAAGUCGAACGAGCUCUUCGGAGCUAGUGGCGGACGGGUGAGUAACACGUUGGUACCUACCCCGAAGUGGGGAAUAACUGCCCGAAAGGGUGGCUAAUACCGCAUAAUACCGUAAGGUUAAAGCAGUAAUGCGCUUCGGGAGGGGCCUGCGUACCAUUAGCUAGUUGGCGGGGUAAAUGCCCACCAAGUCGACGAUGGGUAGCUGGAUCGAGAGGUUGACCAGCCACACUGGGACUGAGAUACGGCCCAGACUCCUACGGGAGGCAGCAGUAAGGAAUCUUCCACAAUGGACGAAAGUCUGAUGGAGCAACGCCGCGUGCAGGAUUAAGGCCUUUGGGUUGUAAACUGCUUUUAUAUAGGAAGAUUAUGACGGUACUAUAUGAAUAAGGACCGGCUAACUACGUGCCAGCAGCCGCAGUAACAC
rnacentral:rRNA from 1 species